rnacentral:lncRNA from 1 species
CCAAACUUCUGUAUACAGCAGAAUCAUUCCACCCAGGCAGAGGACGGAGUCAACCAUCUGGUCUACUUUCAUCUGAAUACCUAUAUCUUAUCACCUGCUGGCUUUUAGUUUGGCCACAAGGAUGUGGCCCUAGAAGGCAUGAACUUUUUUCCUAGAUCUGGCAGAAAAAGUUGUAAAGGUCCAAAGGCAUCCCGAAGUUGCUAAGUCAGACAGCUGCACCCACUUCCAAGAAUGAAUGGGGGUCACACCCUGUAUGUGAGGGAGGAAGAUAUGAACAAGAUGCUACUGGAUCCACAUGCCCUGGGCUCAACAAGUCAUGCAGACAUCCAUCCCUGUGAUUUCCUGAGGCACCACUACUUCCUGAAGGAGGUGAGAGGCCUUAGGAAAGUGACCAACUUACAGUGCAGACAAGUGGCCCCAGAAUAGAAGGUACCUUUUCUAAAAGCUCUACCUCAGGCACAAG